rfam:Tilletia walkeri strain DAOM 236422 scaffold_133 mitochondrial, whole genome shotgun sequence.
GCCGGUUUAGUUUAAUGGUAAAAUUAGUAACUUGUAAUUACUCGACACUAGUUCGAUUCUAGUAACCGGCA